GGCCAAGUAGCUUAGUGGUAACGCUUCCGUCUCGUAAGCGGUAGAUCAGGGUUGAAAUCCCGGCUGGAACU
rfam:Culex pipiens quinquefasciatus supercont3.184 genomic scaffold, whole genome shotgun sequence.